rnacentral:tRNA from 3 species
GGCCCUAUCGUCUAGUGGUCCAGGACGCCGCCCUCUCACGGCGGAAACCGGGGUUCGAGUCCCCGUAGGGCUACCA